rnacentral:lncRNA from 1 species
GGAAGGUAGAGGUCAAGACUUCACCUGGUUAACAGAGGAAGAAGAAGCCGACGAAGCCAUGACAGAGAGUCGCACCGACGAGAGGAAGAAGAGAGUAAACCGAAAGCCAAAUUGGUACUAUCGGGAGUAAGCGCCGAGGUCGGUAUUUAUGGAAAAAGAUGCGUGGAAAUUUGGUAAGGCCACGUCCCAUCGGUAAUAAGAAAGGCAAUAAAUAGAAAGGGCGUCGCGAGAGACGGUCAAAGAAGAUAGUAAAUGUUCGUACAAAACGGUCAGUGUUUUACAGAUUACCCAGAAGGGUAUCGAUAGCCGUGAUAGCCCGACGCCGGAUCUGAU